AAUAGCCUUAUGCUGCUUUGUUUAUUGCCUAUCGGCACAAGGCUCAUCGGUUUUGUCAUUUUCAAAAACCCUUGGAAGAACAAACUGAACGAGAUCCCUCACCUUCUCAGGAUGUAGAUCUAUAUAGAUGGGAAAGAAAUAGUCAGAUAAGCAGACGUGUCUAGGUGUUUUCGUGGUUAUAUAGAUAAUGAUUUGUGAUAUAUGUAAUAUAGAUAUGUGAUAGAUCACAAACACUAUUAUUUAAGUAUUCGGAAAAAGAUGUUGUCGCGGCGAAUUAUCAAGUUCCAGUGGUAACUCCAAAAAACAAAAAACUAGAAAAGGAGGUUGUCAGCGUCGAAUUUCAGUCAUCGAGCGAACAAUAUCAAUAUGAAAUGGCUGAGAGAGAUAACGCUUCAUUCUCACGUCUGGUAAAUAUACAUUAAAUUGAAUAUGACUGACUUGUUGC